GAUGAACGCUGGCGGCGUGCCUAACACAUGCAAGUCGAACGGUGCUGCAGCAGAGGAAGCUUCGGCAGAAUCAGCGGCAGCAUAGUGGCGGACGGGUGAGUAACGCGUGGGGAACCUGCCUCAGACCGGGGGAUAGCAGCUGGAAACGGCUGGUAAUACCGCAUAAGCGCACAGCUCCGCAUGGAGCGGUGUGAAAAACUCCGGUGGUCUGAGAUGGACCCGCGUCUGAUUAGCCAGUUGGCGGGGUAACGGCCCACCAAAGCGACGAUCAGUAGCCGGCCUGAGAGGGCGGACGGCCACAUUGGGACUGAGACACGGCCCAGACUCC
rnacentral:rRNA from 1 species